GACGAGCGCUGGCGGCGUGCUUAACACAUGCAAGUCGAACGGAAAGGCCCUGCUUUUGUGGGGUGCUCGAGUGGCGAACGGGUGAGUAACACGUGAGUAACCUGCCCUUGACUUUGGGAUAACUUCAGGAAACUGGGGCUAAUACCGGAUAGGAGCUCCUGCUGCAUGGUGGGGGUUGGAAAGUUUCGGCGGUUGGGGAUGGACUCGCGGCUUAUCAGCUUGUUGGUGGGGUAGUGGCUUACCAAGGCUUCGACGGGUAGCCGGCCUGAGAGGGUGACCGGCCACAUUGGGACUGAGAUACGGCCCAGACUCCUACGGGAGGCAGCAGUGGGGAAUAUUGCACAAUGGGCGGAAGCCUGAUGCAGCAACGCCGCGUGCGGGAUGACGGCCUUCGGGUUGUAAACCGCUUUCGCCUGUGACGAAGCGUGAGUGACGGUAAUGGGUAAAGAAGCACCGGCUAACUACGUG
rnacentral:rRNA from 1 species